AUUGAACGCUAGCGGGAUGCCUUACACAUGCAAGUCGAACGGAGUGGCGAACGGGUGAGUAAUGUAUCGGAACGUGCCCAUUAGCGGGGGAUAACUACGCGAAAGCGGAGCUAAUACCACAUACUAUUGGAGCGGCUGAUGUCGGAUUAGCUAGUUGGUGGGGUAACGGCUCACCAAGGCGACGAGCCGUAGCUGGUCUGAGAGGACGAACAGCCACACUGGGACUGAGACACGGCCCAGACUCCUACGGGAGGCAGCAGUGGGGAAUCUUGGACAAUGGGGGAAACCCUGACCCAGCCAUCCCGCGUGUGCGAAGAAGGCCUUCGGGUUGUAAAGCACUUUUGUCAGGAAAGCGGUACCUGCAGAAUAAGCACCGGCUAACUACGUGCCAGCAGCCGCGGUAAUUC
rnacentral:rRNA from 1 species